UUUUAUUACAAAUAAGGUUUUUGAUUUUUUUAAAUUGAUCUUAAAUAAUCUCAAGUGUGACAAAAAUUCAGAAACAAUCUUGUAAAAUAUUUUUGAGACUCAAUUUCUUCCGUUUUUUUUUUUUUUUAUAAUUUAUUAAUAAACAAAUGCCAAUUGCUACAUCUUUCACCUCCUUUUAUUUAAUAAAUAAACUGGUAAUAGUUGUGCUUAUUAAAUCUAAUAAUACUGGUAUCAUAUUAUUUCAAAUGUUCAUGAUCUGUAAGUUUCUGAACGCCUCGACGCUAUACUCAUAAUUUCAACUCUUGCACAAGCGGGACCAGUGUUGCCUGGCACACGAAAGUUAACGUAUACAUACAAUAAUUUGGUUUCAAUACGAUGUAAUUCGGUAAAUCACUAUUAUAUGCCAAAGUUCAAUAAAUUCGGCCUUAUGACAGCAAAAUAUAAUGCUCUCUCUAAAAUAAGCUAUAAUUAGUCUCUUUUGUGUAUUCAGUUCCUUGGUUACAGUUAAAAUUGACGACUUUUUUUUUUUGUAAAGCGUUUGGUUUUAUCACAAAAUUACAGUUAUUACACUGCAACUUGUGUUUUCCCUUGGUUAUAUAUCGGACAUGUAAGCUUAUUUUGUAAGAAAAUUUAGGGGUUAUAAAUGGAUGAUCUUUUGAUAUAUAUAUAUAUUUUCUAAAACCAUGAAUUAUGACAGUUAAGCACGACAACUUUCUUCCACUUACCUAGUAACACUUGAUAAGAUUGUCAAUUACUCGAUUUUACUGCAAUCACUACCUCUGUACAAUCUUUAACGUCUUCCUUAAGUCUAUUCAUGUUAAUUUUCAGUGAAAUAUUUGCUGUGGUAUAAAAUUCCAAACAAUCAUAAAUUCAAUCCAAUUUAUCAAGAAGGAUAACCUGCAAUUUAUUUUCAUGGUUUUCUCGAGAAUCCAACAGUGCCCUGAACUGUUCAUCCUACAAGUUACAUUCAUCGGCUGUUUUUUUUUUUUUUUUAUGAAAGGUAAUUUAUUUUAUUAUAAUGAUCCGUUUUAAAUGUGAACUCAUAGUAUUAUGUCCUGCAAGGCAAAGGUUUUUUUUUUUUUGUUAUUAACCUGAAUACCUCUUAUAUUAUAUUAUGAACCCUAAUAUUCCCUUAAAAAGUUUUUAUACAUAAGUUUUUAUUCUGCAUUAACAAUAAUAUCGCGCCCCCGUGAAUGAAUGUCAAAAAAAAAAUUGUUAUUACUUUGCCCAAUUAAAUCAGACUUUUAGGGAAAGUAAAUUUUUCAUUUUGAUUUUGACUGAAAUUUUCCUAUGCUUGCAUAUUUUGUUUUAGAUUAUGAAAAUCCACAUCACUCCAGUCUCCUGUUUGAUGACUGGCUCAAGAUUUCUAAUCUGUUACGAAGAAUACCAACUAUGACAAGAAUAUACUUUAUCUAGCAAGAUAUCCUGAUUGACUGUAUGCUACACCUACUGGGUAUAUAGACUAAACAUCAACAAAUGAUCUUGCCAAGUUAGACCUGCAUGUUACUGAUACUGGUAUCAAGGCGCAAGAAAAUGAAUUUGUAAUUGAUUCUUUUGCAAUGACACCUCCUGGUUGAGGAAUAAGAAAGUAAUCCCCUAACAACGGCGAAAAGAGAAGGAGUAAAGAAGAUUGAUAAACUUAUUUAGUAGGCAAUAACUCUAAGGCUUUUCAUUUAUUAAGUAGACAAUAACUAAGGAUUUUGUACAUAGUAACAGUUUCAGAAAUAAACGUUAGGUUUCUUGACUUUUAUUCAAAACACAAUAAAAAAAAAACAGAGUCCAAAACUCAGCGCACCCACUCCGUCUCACGCCAACAAAAUGUAGCCUGAAUGGCUACUUUUACUUUCUAUCCUUGGUGUCGGUUCCACCAAAAUGUGACCAUUAAGGUUACGUUCUAUCCUGGUCACGGCCUACCAAAAUGUAACUUCCCCUACCUACACCCCAAUCUACCCCAUCUAUUAAACCCCGGACCUAAUAAAAUAAGGAACCUAAUCGUUAUCAAUCCCACCUUUAAAAUUACCCCUAAAAUUUACCCCAACAAUAAUUUUACCUUAACAAUUAUUUGGCCAAGUGAUCGUCUAGAUAAAGGUAGGACCCCUCGAAAUGAACCGCGGUACCCUAAAUUCUUUAAUGAGUAACAACUAAAUUUUGGACUCUGAUUCUACCUGAUUAAGUAUUACCUAGACGUUAAGACUCGGAAAUUUACUAUACUAAAUAAUUUAUUAUGUUGAGAGGAAAUAAUCGAUAGGAUAUUAUGUUAAAAUUCAACCCUCAGCAAAAUACCAUAAGAUUAAGUUAUUCCAAACCAUUUCUAUAUUAAAUAUGACACCUUAUAAGUAGAAUGAAAAUAUAUAACAAUCGACAAGGUAUGAGCAGUGUCACGGUAAAGGAUAUGGGCUCCGCCCCCACGCGCAAGGUCGUAGACGACGGGUGUAGCCUUAAGUUACAGAAACUAUCAAUGAUUUUUGAUGUAAUGUAAGAUAUAUUUUUAAUAAUUAAUUAGAAAGAUAUUUAGUUAUUGCAGCAUAUAUGAUUAUAUAAAUAUAAAAAUAUAUUUGGUAAAAUCCUGCUACUCCUAUUAAGUCUUCGGGGUAACAUUGAAGCAGCACUCCCGGGUUAAGCCCAUUUACACACUUAUAUUAAGAUUAAAAUAUUAUUACCUAUCAAUCCUAUCAUCUUCUAAACGAGGUGUGAACGGAUCACGCGUGCUGCCUCUAAUGCUAGAUGCAGGUCUGAAGACUCUUACUCCGAUUAGCAAUAUCAAUCGGGCCACCUACUAUCUUAUUAGCCAGACGGGCUAUGACCAACGCUUCGCAACCCUAUACAAACCUAGGGGCUGACGAAGAGAAGCGAUAAGUAUUCGUCAGACACCAAUUACUUAUCUUUUAUAUCCAAAAGCUAAGGCUACUAAGCCAUUACCCAGUCCCCAUAGCUAAAAGUAGGUUGAAUUUCUAGGCCUUUCAAAUGUAUAAACGAAGUACAAGUUUAACUCAUUACUGUACUUUAUGAGAUCGAACUAUCAAGGUGAGUAUUAUUCCACUCAAAGAUUCCAAUGGACUGCGCUCGCCUGCCAAAGGGUCUCUAAAACAAACCAUUCUUUUAUCCCAGAAUAGUCUGUGUUCCAAAACCCAACUUGAUAUGUAAGGAUUGAAUAUAUAAAUACCUUAGGACCUGAUCGAAUACUCAGUACUUCGUCUCUACACCAAAAACCCAGAAAUGAAAAUAAAUAGAUAUAAGAUGUUACAGAUAACCCUCAACUUUCCACUCAGAGUAACAGUCUGGAAGAUUUAGGUAAUUAAAACCCAUUACCGGUAUUUCACUAAUAUUAUCAUUAGUACACGUUAUAAAACAUAGCUUCACGUCAUUAGAACCUUUUGAAAGAUAUAUAUAUACACCAACCAAUCGAAUUUCUAGAUCAAACCUAAGAGAGAGAGACCCUAUAACAGUGUGUGUGACUCUACCCUAUUCCUACCCUUAGACCCUAAUCUAGUAUGUCCAGAACACAGAUCGUACUUACCAUUGAUCUAGUGAUUUGGAACAUACACAAGUGUAUCCCUAAGUCUAAGCUGUAAGCAUUCGGCCGACAAAACCGAGGUAUAGCAAACCCUAGUGUCUGUGUGAUUGGCCCCCUCCUCAUCGCCACGUGGGCACGGUGGAUGAGAAUAGACCGCCCUAGCAUGUCUAUAGGUAAUCAGCGCACUAGCACACACACCCGUACCAGUCACUUGGGAUACCCUGCCAUGACUAAAACUUUAUCUGUGUUUGUUACCAAUCAUGACAGAAGCCCUCCCGUGACCAGCACUAGCAUGAGCCAGAGCACCGAAAUAUAUAAAUAUAUUUAAUACGAGACCUAGCCUCAAUUACUGCAGACUUCAGUGAGCUGAGAUUACUCUCAAUGGCACGCACGUGAUGCCCUCACAUUCAUCUAACAGCUGGACCUUGAGACUAAGGAGAGUAUGCUCGCCUCUUAUGUUGGUAAAGAAGAGACGCCAAGUCCUCUCAACUUGGAUCAAAAGACUUCUAAACAGCUGCAAUUUGACACCGUUAGGGAGCAGCUGAUUAGAUGGACAAACUGUUAGUCCAAACAGUGAUCUGGCUUUAUAAAAUAACAAACUAACCUCAUAGAAAGGUAAUAAAAUAACAAAAUUAGAUAUAGUAACACAGAUAAGAAAGUAAAGAAUCUCCACCAUAGCCUAAGCUUAGCAUUACGACAACAUUGUCUCCGCAAUGCCAAACAUAGACACAAUUUACAAGUUUAAAUUUACCAGGAUAAUUCCCAGCAAACACAAACAAAUAGAAGGAAUAGUAGAGAAACUUUACUUACCCAAAGCCAGAGAUACCGCCAGUCCGAUGGUUAAAGAAUGAAUGCCCAUCCUCCGUACUUUACGGCCCUUUUAUAUACUUUAGUAGCGACAUAACAGCGACAUAACGGCGACUAGCGACAUAAUAGCGACAUAACAGCGACAUAUUGGCGACUAGCGACAUAAUAGCGACAUAUCGGCGACAUAAUAGCGACAUAACGGCGACAUAAUAGCGACAUAACGGCGACAUAAUAGCGACAUAACGGCGACAUAGUAGCGACAUAGUAGCGACAU